CCCACUCCCUUUCAAUCUGCCUUUCUGCAGAGCCCUGGCCCGUGGUGUCUUUGGAGAGGCCUAUGAGGGACUGGUAAUUGGCUUUCUGGGGAACCCAGCCUCCUGCAGGUGACUAUCAAGGCCCAGCCAUCACCUCUGGCCAUGCAAGACCUCCUCCAGCUGGUCGGGACAUAGCCGAGGAUUGCCACUAUCUGGAAGAAAAUCACUUCAUCCACAGGUCGCAAGUGAUCUAGCCCUGGGGACUGCCCAUCCUGCUCCCUCCCCAAGGAAUAGCCCUUUUAAAGAAAAGAUCAAGGCUGGAGUUCUGGCAGUGAUUUUUUGCCUGACUCUGCUGGGCCACGAGGAACUGCCUUCUGAGCUGCACUGGAUUCAGCCAAGUGGCCAAGAUUGGAGACUUCUGCAUGCAAGCAAUAUCUACAGGGCCAGUUAUUACCACAAGGGGGGCCCAGGCUCUGCGGGGGGGCCCCCCAGAAGCCUCCCUGGAGGGCAUCUUUACAUCCAAGACAGACUCUUGGUGAUAACAUGCACUCCACUACCUUGGGUCACCUCAUUCGAGAGAAAGGGAAGCUGUUCCUGAUGGGCUCCACUGUACUCGGUUCCCGCCACAUGUGAUGCAGGUCUUUAAAUGCUGCUCUGGGAGAUCUCACUGGACUAUAUACCCUACCCUGGGUGCACCAGUCAGGAGGUGCUGACUGUGUCAUGGGGCAGGAGGG